UGUAAUAAUAAGAAUAAAAUUACAGGCAUAGCUUGGACAACGUGAGCAUAUCUAAUUCCUUUUUAAAGACGGGAGGAGAGGAGAGGGAUAAAGAAACCGAGGUGUCUCCAAGAGUUUUUUGCCUUUUCAAUUGCGGCUGAUUUACACACUCUACGUGACAAACACGCUUGCUUGACGAUGCCUACAGCGAUCGUACGUAAUGUAAUAAACGACGGUCGAUCCGAAAGGGUCGCCCUGUGAACAUUAGGGUUGUAUUUCACUCGUUGAUGUAGUCGGCUCGCACAAUUCGCCCCCGUUACAUAACCGCUACCGUACAUAUAUCUUACACCUAUCUAUAUUCACCAGCUAUAUUCAGCUACAUUUGCGUGUGUACGUGCACAAAACCGUUUAUACAGCCGCGAAUUUUCUCGCUAAACGUGCUCCAGUCGCGUAGCAGUACGAAAUGUCACCAAGAUAAUAGAACCGACUAUCCGUCUAUGUCCUACUUCUGCGUUCAAGCCUAUCUGUAUGCAAAAAUACGGACCUCAUCAUUCAUAAAAAUCAAAUCGCAGAUAGACGUUCGCUUUUCCAAUUCUACUUCGGUGUUUUAAUAAGGGUUUUCAAUUAAAUUUUUUUUUUGUAAUUACGAUUGCAAAUGAAAACGAUACAAUAAAUAUUUGUACGGCGAGUUCAAUUUCGAGCUGGUAAAAUUUACAAAAUAAAAUGUUUGCCAUUACUUAUUGAUUUUCUAGUUUUAAAGUUAAAAUUUAAAACAGUUACGUGCACGCACAAAUUAAAAUUAAUAUCUGUUUAAUUUAUUACGCUUAUGUUUGCAUUAAAAAAGAAAAAAAUUUCUACCUAUUUAUGCUUUAUUGUAGUAUCUUAGAAGACGCGUACACAUGCGUGUGUAACUCAUACAAUUAUAUAUUAUCGGAAACAGAGAAAUCGAAUACAGCGGUAACCUUAAUUUCCGGAGUCGCAAGAUCCAGUUUGAUUGCCAGACAUUUGUAAGCGAGCGACAUAAUGGCGACGUCAUAGAACAAAUGGUCAUUCAUUCAAGGUCGACAGAUAAGCCGCCUCAAGGUUUCAAGAGUUAAAGCCUAGUAUGAAGACAAGCCAGCUAAGGCGCCGGAAUUCAGUAGUGCAGCAGUAUGAUUAAGCGGACGUAUCACAGUCCUUCGCGGGGUAAAUCAUUGCCCGCAGAUUGAACGAACUUAAUGUAGGCGCACGGUGUACACGUCUAUUUUUAAGGUGAGUCCACGGCGAAACGAGAUUGAUUAUCGCAUCAGGCAGCAGACAUGCGAGGUAACCGUUGCAAGCCCUUCCUUUGGCAUCAGGACCUUCGUCCCGAUCGCGAUAAUUUCUAAAUUAAGCCACCGCGUCGCCACCCGACUUACGGAGCACGCCUUUCCGUUUCGGCAUCGUCACGUUAUUAACGUUAUAUCCUGCCCCUUUGUAGACAUAUAUGUGGCGCGGCUUAGAUCGCGAGCUAAAUCAGUGCGAUAUUUGCCUGGCUUUCAGCAUCGUCAAAUUAUUUUUGAGAUAAACUACAUCACAUGUCGC